rnacentral:rRNA from 1 species
GACGAACGCUGGCGGCGUGCUUAACACAUGCAGGUCGAACGGGAUUUAGUAGACAGAAGCCUCGGCUAAAGAUUACUAAUGAGAGUGGCGAACGGGUGAGUAACGCGUGAGCAACCUGCCUAUGACAGUGGGAUAGCCUCGGGAAACCGGGAUUAAUACCGCAUAAAAUCGUAGAAACACAUGUUUUAACGGUCAAAGAUUUAUCGGUCAUAGAUGGGCUCGCGUCUGAUUAGCUAGUUGGUGAGAUAACAGCCCACCAAGGCGACGAUCAGUAGCCGGUCUGAGAGGAUGAACGGCCACAUUGGAACUGAGACACGGUCCAAACUCCUACGGGAAGCAGCAGUGGGGAAUAUUGCACAAUGGGGGAAACCCUGAUGCAGCGACGCCGCGUGAACGAAGAAGGUAUUCGUAUCGUAAAGUUCUGUCCUAUGGGAAGAUAAUGACAGUACCAUAGAAGAAAGCUCCGGCUAAAUACGUG